rnacentral:rRNA from 1 species
UACAGAGGUCUCAAGCGUUGUUCGGAUUCAUUGGGCGUAAAGGGGUGCGUAGGUGGCGCGCUAAGUCAGGUGUGAAAUUUCGGAGCUUAACUCCGAAACUGCAUUUGAUACUGGCGUGCUUGAGGACUGGAGAGGAGACUGGAAUUCACGGUGUAGCAGUGAAAUGCGUAGAGAUCGUGAGGAAGACCAGUGGCGAAGGCGGGUCUCUGGACAGUUCCUGACACUGAGGCACGA